rnacentral:misc_RNA from 1 species
UGCCCCGGUAGGCGGAAGCUCCUUUCCAUCUUCGUAAUCAAAUCCGGGCAUCGUCCGUGCUCCGCUCGGCCUAUCUGUCGUAAAAGCACAGGGAGAGAUCUGCUCGAGUCCCUUGCUUCUCAGUUUCCAGAUCUCUACUCGUGAAUUCUAUCUUCUAAUCAAAGCAAGAAUUGAAAUGGCUGCGGGGGGGUUUGUGAACCGAGCAUUCGAGUCA